GGUGGUGCUGCCGUAGUUGGUCCACCCCGUCCAGCACCUGGCCUUCCACCGCCUGAAAUGAGUGGUCCUGGUGGUGCUGAAGUAGUUGGUCCGCCCCGUCCAGCACCUGCACCUGGCCUUCCACCACCGAGAAUGAGUGGUCCCGGUGGUGCCGCAGUGGCUCUGCCGCCCCGUCCACCACCUCCACUUGGCUUUCCACCACCUCC